CAAAUGAUGAGCAGACGGGAGGAUCACCUCUCUUGACCUGCUGGCAAUACUUUACCUAAUGCAACCAAGAAUACUGUUAGUCUUCUCAGUGGCAAGGACACAUUGUUGGCUCAUGUUCAACUUGCUGUCUAUCAGGACAUUCAGGUUGUAAGUUUGUAACAUUUCAAAAUAGUCAAAUAAAUUAUCUGGAAUGAAGAGCACCCUGAAUUAUACAACAAGGAAAACUCAGACUCUGGCAAGUCUACAGCGUCCCUUUGGCACAGAUUGUGAAGUUCUGUGGAAAAACAUCCUAAGAGAUGGUGUCAACCACUUCAUAUAUUAAAAUACUGUUCCACUGCAGAAGGGGAAAAGGUUUCAGAAAUGGUUGUGUUCCUGGCCCCAGGGCAGUCUUACAGCUUUGGGCAUGGAAAGAGUCUGCUUAACAGAAAUCUUGAAAAAGACACUGGGGGCUAUGAAACAGGAAGGAACAUGAAGACAAAUAGUGGUGGUGAUAAUAUGAUUGAAUUGUCUCCAGCAGAGAAGGCAGAAUUCCAUGCUAUAGUGCCCUUUUGCAACAGUAAGCUCAUGUACUCUUAG
rnacentral:lncRNA from 1 species